rnacentral:rRNA from 1 species
GACGAACCGUGCGAGCGUUAUUCGGAAUCACUGGGCUUAAAGCGCGUGUAGGCGGGCGGGUACGUCGGCCACUGAAAGCCCCCGGCUCAACCGGGGAAGGGGUGCCGAAACGGCCGGCCUGGAGGGGCGUAGGGGGACCUGGAACUUCCGGUGGAGCGGUGAAAUGCGUUGAGAUCGGAAGGAACGCCCGUGGCGAAAGCGAGGUCCUGGACGUCAGCUGACGCUGAGACGCGAAAGCCAGGGGAGUGAACGGG